UCACAAUUUUUAUCUUUCUUUCUUUUCUUUUUUUUCCGCUUCUCCCUCUUCUCUUUUUCUUCUUCUAUGUACCCUUCUACUUUUUCUUUUUAACUUCUUCUUUCUCUUACUUGGGUGCGUGAGUGCGUGUUUGAACUGGAGGUAACUGGAGAAUGAUCACAAUUUUUAUCUUUCUUUCUUUUCUUUUUUUUUCCGCUUCUCCCUCUUCUCUUUUUCUUCUUCUUUGUACCCUUCUACUUUUUCUUUUUAACUUCUUUCUCUUACUU
rnacentral:lncRNA from 1 species